ACAGCUGGGAGAAACUUGGGGAAUGAUGGAGUCCCAACCUCUUGUUUCACAGACAGGGGUAUAUGUCAGAGCCAUUCUUCCAGAUCAGAUGACCUGUUAAACUGAGACUUCUGCACCAUCUGAACCAUCAGUCACUCUCUGGCCCAGAGAGGUGGUGUUAUUUGCCAAGGACACACAGCAGGUGGCCAAGAUGGAGCCAAGCCAUUUUCCCCACUGCAGGGACCCCUGAUCUCCAUUCCCCUGGACAUCUCAAGGGCACAAAUUCUCUGGACACACGGAGGGAAUAAUGCUGACAUUUUAUAGAAGCUGACCCACUGGAUAUCCUUCUCACCCAACUCCAUUAGGCUGGGGAGAGUAAGAGGCACGGUGACAAGGUGGCAAAGAUGUCACCAUGCCAUCCAAUCACGAGGUCUCCAGGAAACUGUAUAAGAAGGACACCUCCAGAAACUCCUGGCACUACUGAACAAAUGUAUAAUAUCCCUGGGUAAAACCAAGAGUCCUCUCGCCUUCUCGCCAUUUGGUAACUGUUGUGCGCCUGACACAGCUUUACCCUCUUUGAAUGGGGAGAGCAGUAGUUUCUGUUCCACAGGUUGCUAUAAGGAUGAACUGUGAUCUCAUCAUUCCUCAUAAUAAUGGCUUAUCAAGAUGAAGUAAUGAUUACCAUUGCCAUUUUACUGAUGAUGAAACAAAGGCUAAGAGACUUGAAGAAUUUGCCCACAAUCUUGUAGCAAUGAAGGUACAGAGUCAGCCAUCUGGAACUCAAGCUGGCUCGACCCUCUGCCCCUCCAAACUGGACAUACAAGGUCAGGUCACUGCAUUCAUUCCUUACCUUGUACAGUGCCCAGAUUAUUCAUCUGUGUUACAAGGCAGGUAGAGAAGAGAUUAUGGACUCGGUUUUGUAUGGGCAAACUGAGGCACACAGUCAGAAAGAAUACACCAGCUGUUCUUUAGCUGAGAGGCCUUAGUUUCUUCCACCAGGACCAUCUAUGAAUAUGACCACCAUGUCUCUUCCACUGUCCACCAGGAGAUACUCCCUAGCAUGUCCCAACAGUGAAGGCUCAACAGAUCCUAAUAGCCUAAGACAGAUAAGAAACCAGGCUGUCUAAUUUCCCCCGGGGAUUAGGGAGCUACCAGUCCAGUUCCUCACAGAAGCAUGAUGCUGUGGCAGGACUAUGGAGCGAGGAGUCAGGAGACCUGGGAUGUGGUCUGGGCUCAGUUACCAGUGACCAUGUGACCCCAACAAGUCACUUUCCUACCUCCUGCUAGAGACAAGCUGGAAGCCACACUCAUGACCCAUGAUCAAACUCCCUCAGCACUUUGCAAAUAGACUUUCUGACCUACAUACAUCUGCAGUCCCCGUCAGUGGAUUGUCUCCACAAUUUCUUACCAAAAGCGAAACCUCUCAGGCUAAUGAGGCCAGAAAUGAGGAGUGCAUGGGCCUGUCUUUUGCCAUAAAUAAGGUCUUGGGGGGAAAAUCCAGAACCUAUUCCAGAGAGGGGUGGAAAAACACCCCACCUCAUUUUAUAUCCCAUGUGGUCCCAAAACCUUACAGGUGCUUCCAACAAGAAGGCCAGCACUGCCUUCUUAUGAAAAUAAAAAAACCCCAGUUUGCAUCAAGGC